AACGAACGCUGGCGGCAUGCCUAACACAUGCAAGUCGAACGAGACCUUCGGGUCUAGUGGCGCACGGGUGCGUAACGCGUGGGAACCUGCCCUCAUGUUUGGAAUAACUCCCCGAAAGGGGUGCUAAUACCGGAUAAUGUCUUCGGACCAAAGAUUUAUCGCCUUUGGAUGGGCCCGCGUUGGAUUAGCUAGUUGGUAGGGUAAAAGCCUACCAAGGCGACGAUCCAUAGCUGGUCUGAGAGGAUGAUCAGCCACACUGGGACUGAGACACGGCCCAGACUCCUACGGGAGGCAGCAGUGGGGAAUAUUGGACAAUGGGCGAAAGCCUGAUCCAGCAAUGCCGCGUGAGUGAUGAAGGCCUUAGGGUUGUAAAGCUCUUUUACCCGGGAUGAUAAUGACAGUACCGGGAGAAUAAGCUCCGGCUAACUCCGUG
rnacentral:rRNA from 1 species